rnacentral:rRNA from 1 species
AGAGCCUGAAUCAGCAUGUGUGUUAGUGGAAGCGUCUGGAAAGGCGCGCGAUACAGGGUGACAGCCCCGUACACAAAAGCGCAUGUGUUGUGAGCUCGAUGAGUAGGGCGGGACACGUGGUAUCCUGUCUGAAUAUGGGGGGACCAUCCUCCAAGGCUAAAUACUCCUGACUGACCGAUAGUGAACCAGUACCGUGAGGGAAAGGCGAAAAGAACCCCGGCGAGGGGAGUGAAAAAGAACCUGAAACCGUGUACGUACAAGCAGUGGGAGCACCCUUUGGGGUGUGACUGCGUACCUUUUGUAUAAUGGGUCAGCGACUUAUAUUCUGUAGCAAGGUUAACCGAAUAGGGGAGCCGGAGGGAAACCGAGUCUUAAUUGGGCGUUAAGUUGCAGGGUAUAGACCCGAAACCCGGUGAUCUAGCCAUGGGCAGGUUGAAGGUUGGGUAACACUAACUGGAGGACCGAACCGACUAAUGUUGAAAAAUUAGCGGAUGACCUGUGGCUGGGGGUGAAAGGCCAAUCAAACCGGGAGAUAGCUGGUUCUCCCCGAAAGCUAUUUAGGUAGCGCCUCGUGAAUUCAUCUCCGGGGGUAGAGCACUGUUUCGGCUAGGGGGCCAUCCCGGCUUACCAACCCGAUGCAAACUGCGAAUACCGGAGAAUGUUAUCACGGGAGACACACGGCGGGUGCUAACGUCCGUCGUGAAGAGGGAAACAACCCAGACCGCCAGCUAAGGUCCCAAAGUCAUGGUUAAGUGGGAAACGAUGUGGGAAGGCCCAGACAGCCAGGAUGUUGGCUUAGAAGCAGCCAUCAUUUAAAGAAAGCGUAAUAGCUCACUGGUCGAGUCGGCCUGCGCG